CCUCUGAGACGAUCACCAUGUUUGCUGUGAAAGCAGUUUUCCUCAUCGCCACCGUCGCUAUGCUUGUUGCAAUGGUGGCAGCGGGUGCUCCAGAUAAGAGACUCUGCCCAUCAAUAUUUCCCAUGUGUUCUAACAUGUAAAGGUAAGGCACUC